rnacentral:rRNA from 1 species
CCUACGGGAGGCAGCAGUGAGGAAUAUUGGUCAAUGGGCGCGAGCCUGAACCAGCCAAGUCGCGUGAGGGAAGACGGCCCUACGGGUUGUAAACCUCUUUUGCCGGGGAGCAACGGGCGCCACGUGUGGCGCCACUGAGAGUACCCGGAGAAAAAGCAUCGGCUAACUCCGUGCCAGCAGCCGCGGUAAUACGGAGGAUGCGAGCGUUAUCCCGAUUUAUUGGGUUUAAAGGGUGCGUAGGCGGAUCGUUAAGUAAGUGGUCAAAUUGAGGGGCUCAACCCCUUCCCGCCAGGGAACUGGGCGCUGUGGAGUGGAAGAGAAGUAUGCGGAAGGCGUGGUGUAGCGGUGAAAUGCAGAGAUAGCACGCAGAACCCCGAUUGCGAAGGCAGCAUGCCGGCUUCCGACUGACGCUGAAGCACGAAAGCGUGGGGAUCGAACAGGAUUAGAUACCCCUGUAGUC